rnacentral:ncRNA from 1 species
UUAGCUAUUUUAGAUAGGUUUGUAUUCAUGACUUCGUGGGUACAAACAAACCAGGUUUGUAUCUAUGAUGGCUAAAGAUUUUUAAACACGACUUACAGCCACGUAGAGAAAUUCAUCUAUAGUGGCUAUUUUAUAUUUUUGCAGCGCUUUUUAAGGCUCGUUGAAGAUGUUCACU